UACGAAGGGGGCUAGCGUUGCUCGGAAUCACGUGGGCGUAAAGGGUGCGUAGGCGGGUUUUUAAGUCAGGGGUGAAAUCCUGGAGCUCAACUCCAGAACUGCCUUUGAUACUGAAGAUCUUGAGUCCGGGAGAGGUGAGUGGAACUGCGAGUGUAGAGGUGAAAUUCGUAGAUAUUCGCAAGAACACCAGUGGCGAAGGCGGCUCACUGGCCCGAUACUGACGCUGAGGUGCGAAAGCGUGGGAGCAA
rnacentral:rRNA from 1 species